rnacentral:rRNA from 1 species
AGUGGGUGUAGCGUACCUACUAGCCUACGACGGGUACGGGUUGUGAGAGCAAGAGCCCGGAGAUGGAUUCUGAGACACAAAUCCAGGCCCUACGGGGUGCAGCAGGCGCGAAAACUUUACAAUGCUGGAAACAGCGAUAAGGGGACCUCGAGUGCCAGGUUACAAAUCUGGCUGUCGUGAUGCCUAAAAAGCAUUGCAUAGCAAGGGCCGGGCAAGACCGGUGCCAGCCGCCGCGGUAACACCGGCGGCUCGAGUGGUAACCGUUAUUAUUGGGUCUAAAGGGUCUGUAGCCGGCCGGAUAAGUCUCUUGGGAAAUCUGGCAGCUUAACUGUCAGGCUUUCAGGAGAUACUGUCUGGCUCGAGGCCGGGAGAGGUGAGAGGUACUUCAGGGGUAGGGGUGAAAUCUUGUAAUCCUUGAAGGACCACCAGUGGCGAAGGCGUCUCACCAGAACGGACCUGACGGCAAGGGACGAAAGCUAGGGGCACGAACCGGAUUAGAUACCCGGGUAGUCCUAGCCGUAAACGAUACUCGCUAGGUGUCGGCAACGGUGCGACCGUUGUCGGUGCCGUAGGGAAGCCGUGAAGCGAGCCACCUGGGAAGUACGGCCGCAAGGCUGAAACUUAAAGGAAUUGGCGGGGGAGCACCACAACGGGUGGAGCUUGCGGUUUAAUUGGAUUCAACGCCGGAAAUCUUACCGGGACCGACAGCAAUAUGAAGGCCAGGCUGAAGACUUUGCCGGAUUAGCUGAGAGGUGGUGCAUGGCCGUCGUCAGUUCGUACUGUGAAGCAUCCUGUUAAGUCAGGCAACGAGCGAGACCCACGCCCACAGUUGCCAGCGUACUCUCCGGAGUGACGGGUACACUGUGGGGACCGCCGCUGCUAAAGCGGAGGAAGGAAUGGGCAACGGUAGGUCAGUAUGCCCCGAAUAUCCCGGGCUACACGCGAGCUACAAUGGUUGGUACAAUGGGUAUCAACCCCGAAAGGGGAUGGAAAUCUCCUAAAGCCAAUCUUAGUCCGGAUUGAGGGCUGCAACUCGCCCUCAUGAAGCUGGAAUCCGUAGUAAUCGCGUUUCAACAGAACGCGGUGAAUACGUCCCUGCUCCUUGCACACACCGCCCGUCAAACCACCCGAGUAGGGUCUGGAUGAGAGCGCUUCCUUCGGAGGCGUUCGAAUUUGGGCUUUGCAAGGGGGGUUAAGUCGUAACAAGGUA